CAUCAAGCUCAGGGUUCCUUUGACGUGUUUUAAAUGUUCAAAACAGCUUCAACAACAAAAGCAAACCCAGCAAUUUUUUUUCAGAAUUAUAAAGUGGAAAAAAUAUUUUCAUUGCAGGCACGGAUCUCAGCUAUAUCAUGUUCCCAACCCUCUCUCUUUGGAAGCCCAAAGAAAGAAAUGUGCUUGCAGCAUGACAGACAGAAAAACUGGUUCAGCCAGGUAUGCAGUAAUUCAAUGAAGACAACAGAAUAG
rnacentral:lncRNA from 1 species